rnacentral:rRNA from 1 species
UACAGAGGUCCCAAGCGUUGUUCGGAUUCACUGGGCGUAAAGGGUGCGUAGGUGGUGAGGUAAGUCGGAUGUGAAAGCUCGGAGCUCAACUCCGAAAUGGCAUUGGAAACUACCUUGCUCGAGGGUUGGAGGGGGGACUGGAAUACUUGGUGUAGCAGUGAAAUGCGUAGAUAUCGGGAGGAAUACCAGUGGCGAAGGCGCUGACCUGGACGAAGAUUGACGCUGAGGUGCGAAAGCGCGGGGAGCAAACAGG